rnacentral:rRNA from 1 species
GGCCUCGCGCUAUANGGGUUGGCCGAUGGCUGAUUAGCUANUUGGUGGGGUAAAGGCCUACCAAGGCGACGAUCAGUAGCUGNUCUGAGAGGACGACCAGCCACACUGGGACUGAGACACGGCCCAGACUCCUACGGGAGGCAGCAGUGGGGAAUUUUGGACAAUGGGCGAAAGCCUGAUCCAGCAAUGCCGCGUGUGUGAAGAAGGCCUUCGGGUUGUAAAGCACUUUUGUCCGGAAAGAAAUCCUUGGCUCUAAUACAGUCGGGGGAUGACGGUACCGGAAGAAUAAGCACCGGCUAACUACGUGCCAGCAGCCGCGGUAAUACGUAGGGUGCGAGCGUUAAUCGGAAUUACUGGGCGUAAAGCGUGCGCAGGCGGUCUGUUAAGACAGAUGUGAAAUCCCCGGGCUCAACCUGGGAACUGCAUUUGUGACUGGCAGGC